rnacentral:ribozyme from 13 species
CCCCUUUUUUUUUUUUUUUUUUUUUCUUUU